UACGGGGGGGGGCAAGCGUUGUUCGGAAUUACUGGGCGUAAAGGGCUCGUAGGCGGCCAACUAAGUCAGACGUGAAAUCCCGCGGCUCAACUGCGGGUCUGCAGUCGAUACGGGGCAGGCUAGAGUUCGGUAGGGGGAGACUGGAAUUCCUGGUGUAGCGGUGAAAUGCGCAGAUAUCAGGAGGAACACCGAUGGCGAAGGCAGGUCUCUGGGCCGAUACUGACGCUGAGGAGCGAAAAGCGUGGGGGAGCGAACAGG
rnacentral:rRNA from 1 species